AGAGUUUGAUCAUGGCUCAGGAUGAACGCUGGCGGCGUGCCUAACACAUGCAAGUCGAACGGAGCCGCAUUGAAACCUAGUGAUAUGCGGCUUAGUGGCGGACGGGUGAGUAACGCGUGGGCAACCUGCCGCAUACCGGGGGAUAACAGCCGGAAACGGCUGCUAAUACCGCAUAAGCGCACAGCGCCGCAUGGCGGAGUGUGAAAAACCACGGUGGUAUGCGAUGGGCCCGCGUCUGAUUAGCUAGUUGGCGGGGCAGCGGCCCACCAAGGCGGCGAUCAGUAGCCGGCCUGAGAGGGCGGACGGCCACACUGGGACUGAGACACGGCCCAGACUCCUGCGGGAGGCAGCAGUGGGGAAUAUUGCACAAUGGGGGAAACCCUGAUGCAGCGACGCCGCGUGAGUGAAGAAGCAUUCCGGUGCGUAAAGCUCUGUCAGCAGGGAAGAAAAUGACGGUACCUGACCAAGAAGCCCCGGCUAACUACGUGCCAGCAGCCGCGGUAAUACGUAGGGGGCAAGCGUUAUCCGGAUUUACUGGGUGUAAAGGGAGCGCAGACGGCAGUGCAAGUCUGGAGUGAAAGCCCGCGGCCCAACCGCGGGACUGCUCUGGAAACUGCACGGCUGGAGUGCAGGAGAGGUAAGCGGAAUUCCUGGUGUAGCGGUGAAAUGCGUAGAUAUCAGGAGGAACACCGGCGGCGAAGGCGGCUUACUGGACUGUGACUGACGUUGAGGCUCGAAAGCGUGGGGAGCAACAGGAUUAGAUACCCUGGUAGUCCACGCCGUAAACGAUGAUUACCAGG
rnacentral:rRNA from 1 species